GAUGAACGCUGGCGGCGUGCCUAAUACAUGCAAGUCGAGCGAAUGGAUUGAGAGCUUGCUCUUAUGAAGUUAGCGGCGGACGGGUGAGUAACACGUGGGUAACCUGCCCAUAAGACUGGGAUAACUCCGGGAAACCGGGGCUAAUACCGGAUAACAUUUUGAACCGCAUGGUUCGAAAUUGAAAGGCGGCUUCGGCUGUCACUUAUGGAUGGACCCGCGUCGCAUUAGCUAGUUGGUGAGGUAACGGCUCACCAAGGCAACGAUGCGUAGCCGACCUGCGAGGGUGAUCGGCCACACUGGGACUGAGACACGGCCCAGGCGCCUACGGGAGGCAGCAGUAGGGAAUCUUCCGCAAUGGACGAAAGUCUGACGGAGCAACGCCGCGUGAGUGAUGAAGGCUUUCGGGUCGUAAAACUCUGUUGUUAGGGAAGAACAAGUGCUAGUUGAAUAAGCUGGCACCUUGACGGUACCUAACCAGAAAGCCACGGCUAACUACGUGCCAGCCGCCGCGGUAA
rnacentral:rRNA from 1 species